GUCCGGUCGUCCCCUACCGCGACGGUUUUCUGCGGCUCUCUCCUCUCCAAACAGUUCAGCUCCUUCCUCCCAAUCGGUUUCACUUCCAGAUGCCGACGCCGCACCUACGCCGCUCCCUCCUCUGCCGCACCCUCCCCUCGACGCCGCUCCCCCCUUCCGGCGCACCCUCCCCCGACGCCGCUCCCUCCUCCCGAUGGUGCUCCCCUCCUGCGACGCAGCUCCCUCAUCCCGACGGCCCCUCCAUCCUCCCGACGCCGCUCCCAUCCUCCCAAUGCCGCUCCCCUCCUGUGACGCCGCUCUCCCAUCCCUGCGCCGCCGUUCCCCGAUCCCUCCUUCGCUCCACCAUCCCGACAACCCUUGAUCCUCCCGACGGUGCCCCAAAAUUGUCCCCCCCCCCCAGCUCGCAAUCCGUUUUCCGAACCCGCUUCGCCGUUCCUCACGUCGCCGAUUCAGGGACUGGGACGCCCUGGUGCCGCCCGCCGCAAGCUACUGGCCAGCCCCUCCGUCGAUCCCACGAUUCAAGAUUGUGGCCUCCUAGGUCAUUAACCUCCGUCCAGAUCUGCUUCGCCCGUUCCUAGCUCCCUCCGGGCUCCGGCCACCGCCCGUCCUUCUGUCGCCGCCGCCCCUCGCUUUUCUCCGUGCAAGUCAACGCCCAGCCAGAUGCCGCAACAGCCCGCCGGCGCAAGGGGGCCGUCCGAUUCGCCGUGCCCCGAAACAGCUUACGAUGUUCUCCACUGUGGUGGGUCGCAAACAGAGGUGCCUGCGGCGUGAUGACUAGGAAUGCGGCCAUAAUGCGUCAUGUUGAGGAUUUUGGCAGAGGAUGCCGGCUGGACCUCUCGCCUCUUUCUGGGCCAAGCCAGCAUCGCUGUGAAGUCACUGUGACCUAAGGCAGCUGGGGUGAUCCCCUGGAACUCACAUCCCAUGGAGAAGCAGUGAUGAAUGGACAUGGCUAGUUAUUGAUGGAAUUGCAGAUCGGGUGUCUGGAGGUUGACUGGAUCGACCCUAGUGCUGAUGCCAAUUUCCAAUCAACGAGUUGUGGCAAUGAGCAUACUUGCAGCAACGUGCCAUGGUGCCCCCAAUCUCUGCUGCCUUCAACUCGAACAGGCCCUGCAGAGCAUCUUCUGUCCAGGUGCUUGCCGCCAGGAGCCCAUGACCAUCAUCUUGCGAAACAUCAGGCAUCACCCAGCUUGGGAUUAGGUCGGUUUAGCUCCUCCCAUUGCCGGUGCUCCUCCGGCGCUCCGUGAUGCCGCUCCAUCCUCCCAUCGCUCCUAGGAGAGUACCUUCUGAUGGUGCAGGAUCAUGCGAUUAGAUCCUAGAGAAGCAAGCGCAGCACCCUUAUAACGAGUUUAAAAUUAUGUUUGAUUCAAAUUUCUUUUAGGGGUUCAUGUCGCUGCGGGAUUUCGAUUCUUUUGUUCCAUUGGUCAAGGGGUGUCGUGGCUGACUCCUGGUUCCUACUUCAAGGAGGUUCUGUUAGGGCUGCUACUGUGGUGGAUGGAUUGCUCGAUUCAUACGCCUCUCAUAUGAAUUCAGGUGCUGCUGCAAUUGAGACCGAGUACAUGUUGUAUGGACGAUUGAGCAACCACAUUGCAAUCCAUUUCGGUCGAUGGUGUCCCAAUCCAUGGGGAUCCUGUCCAUCCUGCAUCAACAGACACAAGGUAUUCAGGAUCCCUCCAAUCGUCAUCAAUUUUUUUAUGAGUCAUCUCAUAGCCUGGACACCUCUGAAAACAACCAUGGGCGUGGAAUUGUAAGCUCGAUGUGAGCAAAACUUCUGCAAGCUCCUCCUUAGUCACAAAUAGUUUAUGCUGAUUAAAAAAAUAAAUCAGUAACUUAAUUUAUCCUGUGCAGCACACAAUCAACUGAACAACCAUGUGCAAGUGUUUUCUAGCAUAUGAAUAUGAACGAAGUUCAUUUUUUCUUUUUUUUGCACUAGGUAUUAAUAAUUCUGAUUCCUGAUGUAUGAUCAGGUCAUACUGUUGGUUGUUGAAGGUGACAUUGCGGUGAACUCUGUUCUGUCCACUGUGCCAGCUUGCUAGCUAUGCUCUUUCAACCUGCGUCCACACUUUAGUCUAGUGAUCAUAUUAGUUCUAAUAGUUAAACUUGGUUUAUUUGCUUUCUUUAAAUUUUCAAGGACAUUAAAAUUGGAUUCCUAUUUGGUUCAAGAAGGUUCUCCGAAAUAAAUUCUACAUUUUUUUGCUAGAUAAAAUAGUGGUGUUUACAAUCGUGGCAGUCAAUAAAUGAUACUAUUCCAACCGUGCACGGUAUUAUUGAACAGCUAUCCAUAUGCAUGCUUAUGUAUUCUGAAAUUUCAGUAUCCAAUUAUGCAUGCCACUUUGCUUGCUACAAGAACAUUUAUAUAUUGCUCAGAUGCUUAUCUUUGAAUACGAACAUCAUUGUAUCUUUUGUCAAUUUGAUGCACGCCUCAUUAUUGCAAUUUUCUGCCAUAUCUUGUCAAUUUGAUAACUCACUGUCCAACAUUUUGACCAUGCACUAAUGUCCAGCCCACUGCCUUAUCUAUGUUCGUGUAAACCCUAGCAUGCAAGGUAUGCAUGAAGCCUCAUCAGCCAUGACACUAUUUUUGGUUGGUAAUCUGACAUGUUCUGUAUCUUUGGGUUGCUGUGAGAUGGAUUCCCCCCCCCCCCCCCCUUCAAAAUGCACUCCUGUAUCCAUGAAAGCAAAGAAUUCGAACCUAAAGCUGCUUGUUUCUUCCAAUUCCAAUUCGGGAUGCUUGCUUCUUCACAUCUUUAGUCUCAUUUCAGGAUGAUUGCUGGUGGGGUCUCUAUAUCUUAAUUGAUAUAUAUAUGGAAAGAACAAGUUCUUUAUUAAUUAAUUAGCUUAACCAUGCGUAUCAAGUGUGAACGACAUUUUUUUCUUACACUUCUCCUGCUGAUUUGGACUGAAUAAUUUGUUGACAAAUUCCUAAUCUGCAGCCAGUUCGUGCACCUGAGUGUAUCCUGUCUAUGAGGUUUGUUGCAACACAAUUCGAAUCUACUCCUUAAUAUUUGUUUUGCUCUUAUAUAAUGUGUAUAGGCUCUCUUUAACCUGCAUAUACUAAUAAUUCUUAGCUCUUAUGCAGAUUGCAAUAUGCAUGCUGGUUACCUGCACGUGAGAUGGUUAAUUGGCAUUUUCAUAUUUGUUUUGUGAUAAGAGAACUAAUUUGGGGCUAGUUUGCAUAGAAUUGAAAUUUUUAUGAUCCCACAUGGUUCAGCGACAAGUCUUUGAUUGAUAGAAAAUGGUUACGGUCUUACUCAAUGACCUGAACAAUCAUCCCAACUGGAAUUAAUAUAUUUUCCUUCUCUAGAA